rnacentral:rRNA from 1 species
AUUGAACGCUCGCGGGAUGCUUUACACAUGCAAGUCGAACGCGUGGCGGACGGGUGAGUAGUAUAUCGGCACGUGCCCAGUAGCGGGGGAUCACUACUCGCACCAGUUGCUCCUCCCGCCUACUCUUUGUGCUGCCGAUAUCGGAUUAGCUAGUUGUUGGGGUAAAGGCUCACAAAGGCAACGCUGCUUCGCUGGUUUGAGAGGACGAACAGACACACUGGGACUGAGACACGGCCCAGAAUCCUACGGGAGGCAGCAGUGGGGAAUGUUGGAAAAUGGGGGAAACCCUGAUCCAGCCAUCCCGCGUGUAUGAGAAGGCCUUCGGGUUGUAAAGCACUGUUGGCAGAGAAGCGGGAGCUGCAGAAUAAGCACCGGCUAACUACGUGCCAGCAGCCGCGGUAAUUC